UACGGGGGGGGCAAGCGUUGUUCGGAAUUACUGGGCGUAAAGGGCUCGUAGGCGGCCAACUAAGUCGGACGUGAAAAUCCCUCGGCUUAACCGGGGAACUGCGUCCGAUACUGGAUGGCUUGAGUUCGGGAGAGGGAUGCGGAAUUCCAGGUGUAGCGGUGAAAUGCGUAGAUAUCUGGAGGAACACCGGUGGCGAAGGCAGCCCCCCUGGGCCAAUACUGACGCUCAUGCACGAAAGCGUGGGGAGCAAACAGG
rnacentral:rRNA from 1 species